CGCCAACAUUCGCAACUGGCUGCAAGCACAGCCACACUUGCCCGAUGUCAUAGAUGACGAGCGGCUGGAACGCCUGUACAUCAGCUGUAAAUGCUGGACCGAGAGAGUCAAGCAGAUACUGGACGUUACCUACACGCUAAAGAACAAGUUCCCCGAAUACAUGCUGAACAGAGAUCCGCUAGGCGAAGACAUUAUCACAGCUCUGAAAUGCGGUAAAGUUCCGACGAUGCCUCGUCUCACACCGCGGUUUCACCGUGUUGGAGUCCUCGGUGACAUCGACCCUGAC